UACGUAGGGCGCGAGCGUUGUCCGGAUUUAUUGGGCGUAAAGAGCUCGUAGGCGGCUUGUCGCGUCGACUGUGAAAGCCCCCGGCUCAACUGGGGAGGGUCACUCGAUACUGAUCGACUUGAAGGCAGGAGAGGGAAGCGGAAUUCCCGGUGUAGUGGUGAAAUGCGUAGAUAUCGGGAGGAACACCAGUGGCGAAGGCGGCCAGCUGGGCCGUCCCUGGACGCUGAGGCGCGAAGGCGUGGGGAGCGAACGGG
rnacentral:rRNA from 1 species